rnacentral:lncRNA from 1 species
GUGGAAAAGGAGGGAGCUACUCUCAGGCUGCGUCCAGCAACAGUGCCCAGGGCUCUGAUGAGUCUCUCAUCGCUUGUAAAGCCUGAGACAGCUGCCUGUGUGGGACUGAGAUGCAGGAUUUCUUCACACCUCUCCUUUGUGACUUCAAGAGCCUCUGGCAUCUCUUUCUGCAAAGGCAUCUGAAUGUGUCUGCGUUCCUGUUAGCAUAAUGUGAGGAGGUGGAGAGACAGCCCACCCCCGUGUCCACCGUGACCCCUGUCCCCACACUGACCUGUGUUCCCUCCCCGAUCAUCUUUCCUGUUCCAGAGAAGUGGGCUGGAUGUCUCCAUCUCUGUCUCAACUUCAUGGUGCGCUGAGCUGCAACUUCUUACUUCCCUAAUGAAGUUAGGAACCUGAAUAUAAAUUUGUUUUCUCAAAUAUUUGCUAUGAAGGGUUGAUGGAUUAAUUAAAUAAGUCAAUUCCUGGAAGUUGAGAGAGCAAAUAAAGACCUGAG